AACAAACGCUGGCGGCGUGCCUAAUACAUGCAAGUCGAACGGGGUAGCAAUACCUAGUGGCGCACGGGUGAGUAACGCGUGGAUAAUCUGCCUUGGAGUGGGGGAUAACUAGUCGAAAGAUUAGCUAAUACCGCAUAAGACCACAGGAGCUGCGGCUCUAGGGGUCAAAGGUUUUUCGUUCCAAGAUGAGUCCGCGUAAGAUUAGCUAGUUGGUGAGGUAAUGGCUCACCAAGGCGACGAUCUUUAACUGGUCUGAGAGGAUGAUCAGUCACACUGGAACUGAGACACGGUCCAGACUCCUACGGGAGGCAGCAGUAGGGAAUAUUGCACAAUGGAGGAAACUCUGAUGCAGCGACGCCGCGUGAGUGAUGAAGGCCUUCGGGUCGUAAAGCUCUGUCGCAGGGGAAUAACACAAUGAAUGUACCCUGUAAGAAAGGAUCGGCUAACUUCGUGCCAGCCGCCGCGGUAAGAC
rnacentral:rRNA from 1 species